rnacentral:lncRNA from 1 species
CCAAAGGCAAUGGGUUCCAGGACCACUUGGCUACCAAAAUCUUCAGAUAUUCAAGUCCUUUACAUAAAAUCACUCAGUAUAUACAUAGAAUCCAUGCACACCCUUUUGUACACUUCAAAACAUCUCUAGGUAAUGUACAAUGUCUACCACAGUGUGUAUGCUAUGUAAAUAGUUAAUACUGUGUUGAUUAGAGAACAAUGACAGGAAAAAGUCUGUAAUGCUCUGUACAGACAUUAUUUUGUUCCAAAUAUUUUUGAUCCUUCAUUGAAUCUGAAGCUGUAAAGGGCCAACUGUAUUAGUAGCAAAGCAAGCUUUUCCCAAGACCUCCCCAGGAUGGAAAUGACUGGGCAGAGCUGGCUGGCGCAGAGGAUGCAGUGUCUGCAGCAAGCACACAAAAGACACACACAAUACAAGUGCACGAUUUGCCUGAUGUUGGAAGAUAAUGGUCCCAGUGUCAUUGAGGUGCAUCAGCAAUUUCGACCGUGGCUGUGGCUGAUGAUACAGGGCUUAACAUGGAUUUCAGUCUCCUGCCCAGCAGGCCGCACAUCUGAG